UGAUAAAUAUUUGCGAGAGGAUCCUGAACCUUAUAUAAAGUCAGUUGAGUUUGAUAUUUUACAUUGGUGGAAAGUCAACUCAACUAGAUUUCCUAUCCUUGCGAACAUGGCUCGAGAGGUGUUAGCCAUUCCUAUCUCUACCGUAGCAUCAGAGUGUGCAUUCAGUACAGGAGGAAGAGUGGUUAGUCCUUAUCGUAGUUGCCUAACGCCUAAAAUAGUGGAAGUGCUUGUUUGUACACAAGAUUGGUUAAAAGGAACACCUUUCUCUAUACUUUUUGAUGAGGAUCCUAAAGAACUUGAUAAAUUUGAGCAAGAGAUAACCUCUCAAGAUGAAGUGGGACCUUCAAGUGCUGCUAUUAAUUUGGAUGAUUGAAGCUUUGCCACAAUUUGUUAGUUAUCUAAAGUACAUGUGGUUGUAUGGAGAUGUCUGUUGUGUGACAGCAUAUCAAGUCUGCUUGAUUCUUCAGACAAUGUGAUGAUUAUUUACAUUAAGUCUAUGGUUGAAGAUGAUGACAAGGAAGUGGUUGCUCAAGCAUGCACUAGUUUGGCUGAUAUCAUCAUAGAUUAUGGUUUUGCAACUCUUGAGCCUUGUAAGCAUAUAAUUAUUUUACCAAUUUGUAAGAGUCAUUUUGCUGGUGAACUGAUGCUAAUGUUGAGAUUUCUAUACUUGCAGACUUGGCACAACUUGUUGAUGCAACUUCA